rnacentral:rRNA from 1 species
UACAGAGGUCUCAAGCGUUGUUCGGAUUCAUUGGGCGUAAAGGGUGCGUAGGUGGCGCGGUAAGUCGGGUGUGAAAUCUCGGAGCUUAACUCCGAAAUUGCAUUCGAUACUGCCGUGCUCGAGGACUGGAGAGGAGACUGGAAUUCAUGGUGUAGCAGUGAAAUGCGUAGAGAUCAUGGGGAAGACCAGUGGCGAAGGCGGGGUCUCUGGACAGUUCCUGACACUGAGGCACGAAGGCCAGGGGAGCAAACGGG